GCGCUUGUGGUGGAAUUGGUAGACACGCAGCCUUGAGGUGGCUGUGCCGCAAGGUGUGGGGGUUCGAGUCCCCCCGAGCGCACCA
rnacentral:tRNA from 1 species